rnacentral:rRNA from 1 species
AUUGAACGCUGGCGGAAUGCUUUACACAUGCAAGUCGAACGGCAGCACGGACUUCGGUCUGGUGGCGAGUGGCGAACGGGUGAGUAAUGUAUCGGAACGUACCCAGUCGUGGGGGAUAACGUAGUGAAAAUUACGCUAAUACCGCAUACGAUCUAUGGAUGAAAGCGGGGGAUCGCAAGACCUCGCGCGAUUGGAGCGGCCGAUAUCAGAUUAGGUAGUUGGUGGGGUAAAGGCCCACCAAGCCAACGAUCUGUAGCUGGUCAGAGAGGACGACCAGCCACACUGGAACUGUGAGACGGUCCAGACUCAUACGUGAGGCAGCAGUGGGGAAUUUUGGACAAUGGGCGAAAGCCUGAUCCAGCCAUUACGCGUGCAGGAUGAAAGCCCUCGGGUUGUAAACUGCUUUUGUACAGAACGAAAAAGUUUCUACUAAUACUAGGAGCUCAUGACGGUACUGUAAGAAUAAGCACCGGCUAACUACGUGCCAGCCGCCGCCGUAA